UACGUAGGGUGCAGGCGUUAAUCGGAAUUACUGGGCGUAAAGCGUGCGCAGGCGGCGAUGUAAGACAGAUGUGAAAUCCCCGGGCUCAACCUGGGAACUGCAUUUGUGACUGCAUCGCUGGAGUACGGCAGAGGGGGAUGGAAUUCCGCGUGUAGCAGUGAAAUGCGUAGAUAUGCGGAGGAACACCGAUGGCGAAGGCAAUCCCCUGGGCCUGUACUGACGCUCAUGCACGAAAGCGUGGGGAGCAAACAGG
rnacentral:rRNA from 1 species